rnacentral:rRNA from 1 species
CACGUAAGGUGCGAGCGUUGUUCGGAAUUAUUGGGCGUAAAGGGCAUGUAGGCGGCCGCGCAAGCUUGGCGUGAAAGGCAGGGGCUCAACUCCUGGACUGCGCUGAGAACUGCGAGGCUGGAGUCAAUGAGGGGGAACCGGAAUUCCAGGUGUAGGGGUGAAAUCUGUAGAUAUCUGGAAGAACACCAAUGGCGAAGGCAGGUUCCUAGCAUAUGACUGACGCUGAGGUGCGAAGGUGCGGGGAGCGAAC